rnacentral:rRNA from 1 species
AGAGAUGGAUUGGUGCCUUCGGGAACUCUGACACAGGUGCUGCAUGGCUGUCGUCAGCUCGUGUCGUGAGAUGUUGGGUUAAGUCCCGUAACGAGCGCAACCCUUGUCCUUAGUUACCAGCACGUUAUGGUGGGCGACUCUAAGGAGACUGCCGGUGCAAACCGGAGGAAGGUGGGGAUGACGUCAAGCCAUCAUGGCCCUUACGGCCUGGGCUACACACGUGCUACAAUGGUCGGUACAAAGGGUUGCCAAGCCGCGGAGGUGGAGCUAAUCCCAUAAAACCGAUCGUAGUCCGGAUCGCAGUCUGCAACUCGACUGCGUGAAGUCGGAAUCGCUAGUAAUCGUGAAUCAGAAUGUCACGGUGAAUACGUUCCCGGGCCUU